CGUAAUAUUUAAAGGGCGCUUAUGAGUCGUGUUUACUGUGGACCUUGCUGUGUGACGUCACAAUAAGGCACGCGGUGAAUGCCAAUCAAAAGUCGCCGC
ensembl:miRNA cin-mir-124-2 cin-mir-124-2